AUUGAACGCUGGCGGCAUGCUUUACACAUGCAAGUCGAACGGUAACAGGCCGCAAGGUGCUGACGAGUGGCGAACGGGUGAGUAAUGCAUCGGAACGUGCCCAGUCGUGGGGGAUAACUACUCGAAAGAGUAGCUAAUACCGCAUACGAUCUAUGGAUGAAAGCGGGGGACCGUAAGGCCUCGCGCGAUUGGAGCGGCCGAUGUCAGAUUAGGUAGUUGGUGGGGUAAAGGCUCACCAAGCCAACGAUCUGUAGCUGGUCUGAGAGGACGACCAGCCACACUGGGACUGACACACGGCCCAGACUCCUACGGGAGGCAGCAGUGGGGAAUUUUGGACAAUGGGCGCAAGCCUGAUCCAGCAAUGCCGCGUGCAGGAAGAAGGCCUUCGGGUUGUAAACUGCUUUUGUACGGAACGAAACGGCUCUGGUUAAUACCCGGGGCUAAUGACGGUACCGUAAGAAUAAGCACCGGCUAACUACGUG
rnacentral:rRNA from 1 species